GGCGGCGUGCCUAAACAUGCAAGUCGUACGAGAAAGUUGGCUUCGGCCGAUGAGUAAAGUGGCGCACGGGUGAGUAAUGCGUGGAUAAUCUGCCCUUUAGUUGGGAAUAACGUACCGAAAGGUGCGCUAAUACCUGAUAAUACUGCAUAACUACUGUUGUGUAGUCAAAGAAGGCCUCUGUUUACAAGCUUUUGCUGAAGGAUGAGUCCGCGUACCAUUAGCUGGUUGGUGGGGUAAUGGCCUACCAAGGCUACGAUGGUUAGCUGGUCUGAGAGGAUGAUCAGCCACACUGGAACUGAGACACGGUCCAGACUCCUACGGGAGGCAGCAGUGAGGAAUAUUGCGCAAUGGGGGCAACCCUGACGCAGCAACGCCGCGUGAGUGAGGAAGGUUUUCGGACCGUAAAGCUCUGUCGAGCGGGAAGAAAUGUAUCAUGGCUAAUAUCCAUGAUACUUGACGGUACCGCUAAAGGAAGCACCGGCUAACUCCGUG
rnacentral:rRNA from 1 species